GCGGGACCCCGGGGCCCUGCGCGGGGAGCGAAGGCGGCCGCCGGCGCCGUGGGGCGGCAGCCUGGAGGGGCUGUGGUGACGCGGGUUUGGUACUUCGGCUUUAGCGAAAGUUAUAAUCCAUCGCCGAUUGAAAACGUCUCAAAUACGCGUGUGAAACAUCUAGUUACCUUUGUAUGUGGUGUUUUAGGGAGUCAGUAUGGUCUUUUUGAGCUUACAUUUAAAGCCCCUGUGAUGGGCCGGUGCAGUUCUGCCCCUUUCGUGUGAAAAAAGGAGCAAACAAUGCAUCCUGCUUCAUGGUGAAAAGCAGUGUUUCUGUGCUUCAUUGGCUUCCGUUUGUUUAGUUUGUGCCUCGGAAAGCUGGUGGGUCGUAACUGCCUGCUGAAAUCCGGACACUCGUCAAAGGGCUCGCCGCAGAGAGGUGCGAGGCAGCGUCCCCAGGGCCGUGUUGAGAAUGUGUUAAUAGAAGUCCUCGUCAACCACUCCCUGAAUGGUUAGCGAAGCCAGGCCCGAAGGAUCUGGAGAUAUCUUCCCGUUGAGUGAUAGUGGUGUUUAGCCAUCAUCGCAUUGAACAGGCUAGUCUGACAUUAGAAUAAAAUACGAACAAAUGCUUCUGGAAGAGAAGAUACUACAGAAAGUAGGAAGGAAGAAGAUGCAGGAAGUGGUUUUGGAGGCAAAGCUGGCUUUACACUUUCACCUCUGAGGAACCUCUGCUGUUGUAGCCACACAGAGAGAAGAUAUGUACUGCAUGGCCGGGCACUGAGAAUUAGCCAUUACUGUCACCUCCCUAUUGCUUGCAAGGAGUGGCCUAAAAUGGAGGGGUCCACUUUGACACUGAACAGGGUUGACUAUCCGAACAGACUCUGCGAGUGUUUCAUCACUGACUGCAAUGGGAGAAGGGACACAACUCUGACAGAGGAACUUCACUUAGAGGGGAAAACAGCAGGUUCCAACUCUACUUGAUCAGUC
rnacentral:lncRNA from 1 species